CCCUGCGCAGUCCUACUUACAA
rnacentral:miRNA from 2 species